GUGAGGAAUUUUCCGCAAUGGGCGAAAGCCUGACGGAGCAAUGCCGCGUGAAGGAUGAAGGCCUAUGGGUUGUAAACUUCUUUUCUCAGAAAAGAAUUAUGACGGUAUCUGAGGAAUAAGCAUCGGCUAACUCUGUGCCAGCAGCCGCGGUAAGACAGAGGAUGCAAGCGUUAUCCGGAAUGAUUGGGCGUAAAGCGUCUGUAGGUUGUUUACAAAGUAUUCUGUCAAAGAUUAGGGCUUAACCCUAGAUAGGCAGAAUAAACUUUUAAGCUAGAGUUUGGUAGAGGCAGUGGGAAAUCCCGGUGGAGCGGUGAAAUGCGUAGAUAUCGGGAGGAACACCAAAGGCGAAGGCACUCUGCUGGGCCAAUACUAACACUGAGAGACGAAAGCGAGGGGAGCAAAUGGGAUUAGAUACCCUAGUAGUCC
rnacentral:rRNA from 1 species